rnacentral:lncRNA from 12 species
GCCGCGCCCGUGCCAGACGGCGCGCUGCUCCGGCGGUUUACGGGGGGCGCGGCGGCCCGGCCCUCCUGGUUCUUGGCUCUUCAGGCCCUUCUGUACCGGGGCCUUUUUUUUUUAUUUUUUUUUUAAUUAUUUAUUUAUUUAUUCAUGAUAGACACAGAGAGAGAGAGUGAGAGAGGCAGAGACACAGGAGGAGGGAGAAGCAGGCUCCAUGCAGGGAGCCCGACGUGGGACUCAAUCCCGGGUCUCCAGGAUCACGCCCUGGGCCAAAGGCAGGCGCUAAACCACUGAACCACCCAGGGAUCCCCCCCUUUUUUUUUUAAAAGGUUUUAUUUAUUUCUCCAUGAGACACAGAGAGAGAGAGAGAGAGAGAGAGAGAGAGGCAGAGACCCAAGCGGAGGGAGAAGCAGGCUCCACGCAGGGAGGCCCGACGUGGGACUCGAACCCGGGCCCCCAGGGUCACAACCUGGGCCAGAGGCAGACGCUCGCCCAACGGAGCCCGCAGGAGCCCCCGAGGGAGGCUUCCUUGAGACACACCCAGCUGCCCCCUUGCAUCAGCGGGAACCGCAUGUGCCAUAGAGUGUGAAUGAGAAGGAGACGCGGAGGCAGCGCCAACCCCACGGAGACCGCGAGCCUCCCGCACGGACCAACAGGCGUCGACACCUUCCCACCAGUGAGUCUGGCCCCCUUUGUUGGGCUCGGACCUUUUUGCGCAUCUCAGACAAUUGGAUCUACGGAUGCGAAAGAUGCACACGCGGAUGUCGUGCGCUACCUUUUUCGCCCUGUGAUCUUCCCAGCGGUCACAAUGUUAAAGAAAAUCCGAUUAUUCAAAAAAUAUGUAGUUAUUAUUGCCCAGAAGGUUGAAGGACUUUCCCCAAAGGAACCAGUGGAGAACGAAGAGUCUAAAGGUCCUCCAAGCAGGUCCCAGGACGGAAGGCCACGUGCUGCAGCCUGUCCAGGCUCCAAAGCAAAGACGUGUUUCCGGUGCGUUUCAUUAUGAGACUUAAAAUGCUAAAGCCCGAGGUAAAUGGUUUGAAUCUCAAACAUGAUUCUGGGGAAUUGUGUUUGUGGUGCUCUGACCCCACGGUAACCCAGCCAGUGUCGGGAGAGGCACCGAGGACAGGAGAACUGGGGUGACGGCUUCCUGCCUCCAGGCGCCCAGGGCCAGGCAUGGAGACCGCCGCUGGGGUGGUAGGAACUGAAUGGGGGGGGCUGUGGGGACACCGGGGGGGCCAGCGGGGAUGGCCGUGGGGCUGAGAAGUGGGGUCUCGGGCGUGGGGAAGUACAAGGGUCAUCCUCGUCUAGGAAGACAGGAACAGCAAGAGGCGCUGCAGGGGGCCGUGAGAGGAGUGCUAGGUGUGGGCCCGGGAGCAGCUGGGUGGAGGUGGAGGGCCAGGGGCCGGCAGUGACGGGCAGACGGGAGGUCGGCUCCUUUCCUCUCGGGGCUUCUCACCAGGCACCACGUGCAGGUUGGGGGUGAUGACAGUCUGACCUCGUCCCCCCGUCCUUCUAUAGGGGCCCCGCCCACCGACUCCCUGUGAGAUGCUCUGAAAGGUCUGUGUGAGUCUCUACGUUUCUGGCCCCAAAAUGAAGGCCCAACAGGACAAGCGAGGGACGGGCCGCAAAAGAUGCCGGUGGGGGAUUUCACGAUGAUGUGGAUGGGAGUGGCUUGAGUGUCUGUGACGCCAGCAGGAUGCAGGUUGGCGCUGCAGCCCGCCCCCCGCCCACGUGACAGGUGCCCAGCUGGCGUCCAGGCCACAGCUGACUGGACUCUGCGGUCACCCCCCACCUGCCCCAGCAGAACCCACGCUCUCUGGGGCAUCCCCGCAGGACACGCGUGCCGCACGCAGGGCAGGAGGGGUGGGGGGGCUCACCGUCCCCUCACCACCAAACGUGGCCCUGGGUGCCACCCGUGGGCCGCUGCCGUGCUCCUGCCGCCUGCCAGCUUCCGUGGGCAGGUCCUUGUGCAACCCGUGUCAUCCUCAGGGGCACAGGAAGCU